rnacentral:antisense_RNA from 1 species
CUUCAACGACCCCAACCACAACGGCCGAUCCGCCGGGCGCCCCUGGCCAUACGUGGCGAUCAGCGCCUGCGCCUC